rnacentral:rRNA from 1 species
AUUGAACGCUGGCGGCAUGCUUUACACAUGCAAGUCGAACGGUAACAGGUUAAGCUGACGAGUGGCGAACGGGUGAGUAAUGCAUCGGAACGUGCCGAUCGUGGGGGAUAACGCAGCGAAAGCUGCGCUAAUACCGCAUACGAUCUGAGGAUGAAAGCGGGGGACCGUAAGGCCUCGCGCGAUCGGAGCGGCCGAUGUCAGAUUAGGUAGUUGGUGGGGUAAAGGCCCACCAAGCCGACGAUCUGUAGCUGGUCUGAGAGGACGACCAGCCACACUGGGACGGAGACACGGCCCAGACUCCUACGGGAGGCAGCAGUGGGGAAUUUUGGACAAUGGGCGAAAGCCUGAUCCAGCAAUGCCGCGUGCAGGAAGAAGGCCUUCGGGUUGUAAACUGCUUUUGUACGGAGCGAAAAGGUCCUUUCUAAUACAGGGGGCUCAUGACGGUACCGUAAGAAUAAGCACCGGCUAACUACGUGCCAGCCGCCGCCGUAA